GUAGAUUCCGCUAAGUGUAAUAAGUAGCUCUCUGGUAUUUUUGGAGAAAAAUGUAAAGAAUUGAUUUCAAGAAUUUUCAUACGUGCUUGCUUAUUUGGUAGAGGGAAGUAGAAUUCGCGAUCAAAUCUACCGGGUCUCCUUAAGGCCGGGUCAAGAUCGUUGGGACGAUUAGUAGCACCAAUUACUACUACUUGUCCACGCGUAUCGAGGCCAUCCAUUAAAGCAAGCAAGGUGGAGACAAUGGAACUGUGAGUUUGCUCUUGUUUUGAAGAUCGAAUAGGAGCAAGCCCAUCUAUUUCAUCAAAGAAUAUGAUGCUGGGUUGUACUCUUCUAGCUUCUUCGAAUAAAAGCCUAAGUUGCCUUUCUGCUUCGCCAACC